rnacentral:rRNA from 1 species
GGCGGACGGGUGAGUAACACGUGGGUAACCUGCCUGUAAGACUGGGAUAACUCCGGGAAACCGGAGCUAAUACCGGAUAGUUCCUUGAACCGCAUGGUUCAAGGAUGAAAGACGGUUUCGGCUGUCACUUACAGAUGGACCCGCGGCGCAUUAGCUAGUUGGUGGGGUAAUGGCUCACCAAGGCGACGAUGCGUAGCCGACCUGAGAGGGUGAUCGGCCACACUGGGACUGAGACACGGCCCAGACUCCUACGGGAGGCAGCAGUAGGGAAUCUUCCGCAAUGGACGAAAGUCUGACGGAGCAACGCCGCGUGAGUGAUGAAGGUUUUCGGAUCGUAAAGCUCUGUUGUUAGGGAAGAACAAGUGCGAGAGUAACUGCUCGCACCUUGACGGUACCUAACCAGAAAGCCACGGCUAACUACGUGCCAGCAGCCGCGGUAAUACGUAGGUGGCAAGCGUUGUCCGGAAUUAUUGGGCGUACCGGGCUCGCAGGCGGUUUCUUAAGUCUGAUGUGAAAGCCCCCGGCUCAACCGGGGAGGGUCAUUGGAAACUGGGAAACUUGAGUGCAGAAGAGGAGAGUGGAAUUCCACGUGUAGCGGUGAAAUGCGUAGAGAUGUGGAGGAACACCAGUGGCGAAGGCGACUCUCUGGUCUGUAACUGACGCUGAGGAGCGAAAGCGUGGGGAGCGAACAGGAUUAGAUACCCUGGUAGUCCACGCCGUAAACGAUGAGUGCUAAGUGUUAGGGGGUUUCCGCCCCUUAGUGCUGCAGCUAACGCAUUAAGCACUCCGCCUGGGGAGUACGGUCGCAAGACUGAAACUCAAAGGAAUUGACGGGGGCCCGCACAAGCGGUGGAGCAUGUGGUUUAAUUCGAAGCAACGCGAAGAACCUUACCAGGUCUUGACAUCCUCUGACAACCCUAGAGAUAGGGCUUUCCCUUCGGGGACAGAGUGACAGGUGGUGCAUGGUUGUCGUCAGCUCGUGUCGUGAGAUGUUGGGUUAAGUCCCGC